AACGAGGCCGACCUGCGGCUGAGUUACCUGCGGAGGGAUCAUUAUAGAGUUUUCUAAACUCCCAAACCCAUGUGAACUUACCAUUGUUGCCUCGGCAGAACCUACCCGGUACCUACCCUGGAACUAGCUACCCUGUAGCUACCCAGGAACGGGCUACCCUGUAACGUCCUGCCGGUGGACUUCUAAACUCUUGUUAUUUAUAGUAAUCUGAGCGUCUUAUUUUAAUAAGUCAAAACUUUC
rnacentral:misc_RNA from 1 species